rnacentral:rRNA from 1 species
AUGGCGACCGGCGCACGGGUGAGUAACACGUAUCCAACCUGCCGAUAACUCGGGGAUAGCCUUUCGAAAGAAAGAUUAAUACCCGAUGGUAUAAUCAGACCGCAUGGUUUGAUUAUUAAAGAGUUUCGGUUAUCGAUGGGGAUGCGUUCCAUUAGGCAGUUGGUGAGGUAACGGCUUACCAAGGCGACGAUCAGUAGCCGACCUGAGAGGGUGACCGGCCACAUUGGGACUGGGACACGGCCCAA